rnacentral:rRNA from 1 species
CGAGCGGCGAACGGGUGAGUAACGCGUGGAUUAUCUGCCCUGAGGUGGGGGAUAACCCGGGGAAACUCGGGCUGAUACCGCAUAAUACCGAGAGGUCAAAGGGGGCCGCAAGGCUCUCGCCAUGGGAGGAGUCCGCGUUCGAUUAGCUAGUUGGUAGGGUAAUGGCCUACCAAGGCGACGAUCGAUAGCCGGCCUGAGAGGGUGAUCGGCCACACUGGAACUGAGACACGGUCCAG